UACGGAGGGUGCAAGCGUUACUCGGAAUCACUGGGCGUAAAGAGCGCGUAGGCGGGAUAGCAAGUCAGAUGUGAAAUCCUAUGGCUUAACCAUAGAACUGCAUUUGAAACUGUUAUUCUAGAGUAUGGGAGAGGUAGGUGGAAUUCUUGGUGUAGGGGUAAAAUCCGUAGAGAUCAAGAGGAAUACUCAUUGCGAAGGCGACCUGCUAGAACAUAACUGACGCUGAUGCGCGAAAGCGUGGGGAGCAAACA
rnacentral:rRNA from 1 species